rnacentral:rRNA from 1 species
GACGUAGGGCGCGAGCGUUGCCCGGAAUUAUUGGGCGUAAAGAGCUCGUAGGCGGUUUGUCGCGUCUGCCGUGAAAGUCCGGGGCUCAACUCCGGAUCUGCGGUGGGUACGGGCAGACUAGAGUGAUGUAGGGGAGACUGGAAUUCCUGGUGUAGCGGUGAAAUGCGCAGAUAUCAGGAGGAACACCGGUGGCGAAGGCGGCUCACUGGCUCAUUACUGACGCUCAGGCGCGAUAGCGUGGGGAUCAAACAGG